GAAAUUUUCUCUGAAUUGGAUAUAUCUAUGUUUGUUCACAUACAUUCAGUUAGUAAUUUCUAUCAAUUUUACUGAUUUCUUNUUAAAUUGUUUGAUGAUUCUCAAAUUGUGUUUUAGCUAUUUGGGAGUGGGGAAUCUAGUUUGGCUGUUUGGGGGGUGGGAGCAAAUUUGGGAAUGACCGAAUUUUGGGCUGCAGAUGUAUAUUACCAAUUUUCCAUUCCUAAAUUUAUUUUAUUUGUGAGGGUUUUAUAGUAUAUCGGUAAACUUCUCCUUUUGCUACGUUUUUCCAAAGAUUAUCAUUUUUCAUUUAGGUAUUCGAGAAAGAUCAUCAAAUGAGGAAAAAACUGCAAAUGAGUUGAGUUCUUAUAAGACUUGUUUGGUUACUGUUUCUUAUAAGGUGAAAUAACGCCUUUUUUUGUUUCCUACUGAUCUCUAAUCACGCUUCUGUAUUUUAUUUUAUCUUUCAUAUUUCUUUGAUAUUGCUUUGUUUGAAUCGCUUUUCAAGUUUAAUGGGGUUUCCUUCAAUUUUUGAAAAAUUAUUCUGAUCUAUUGAAAUUUGUAAGAUGGGUUACCACUUACAAGCAAUUCAAUGUUGGUAUAUUAGGUUUGUGAUAAAGUUGAAGAAAUUUAGGGAAAUUGAUAUUAAAAUUCUAGAUUGUUUUAGUGUAGAGUUUGAAUUGUGGUUGACAUAUCAGGUUACCUAAUUAAUUUGUUGAUCUUAGCAUGGCACCAAGCAAUCUUUUGUCUCCUCAAGGCCCUAAAGUUCUUAUCACCAGAGGCUCCAUUAAAUUAUAAAUGAGGCUUAGUUUGAUCUUUUUUAUUCUGUGCUAUAUUCGCAUGGGUUUUUGUCGUUCAUUAGGUAUUGUUGCUUCAUAGGGAUUAUUCGGCUGAAAAUAGUAAUGGACAGUAAUGAUUUAGAUUUAAUUUGUGAUCUGGCUUAAAGAAUUGCAUAACCAUACGAUAUCUUCACAGAACCAACCUUGCAAAUUUCAUAACCCGAUUUUUCUUUUUCAUGAUGGCAGAAGUCAAUAUUGUCUUUAUGUAAACCAUACUUGUAAAUUCUCCUAAUAAUGGAUCAAUAUUUACUUUUACUUUUGUGAAAAUAUAUUAAAGAAUUGGUUCUUAAAUUAAAAGAAGGUAAAAGGUUUAGGGGUCCUUGUCAUUUUUCCUCCUUUAAAAGCUCAGAGUCGAGCUGGUUGAGUGAAAGUUAGACCCUUAAAUGUUAAAGGGUCCUUUGUUUGAGAAUUGAGACACCCCCAUCUUAAAUGAGGUCAUUCUUUUAAUGAUAUUUAGUAUAUUUUUUUUAGUAGCAAGCGAUUGUUGAAGAGCGUUGGGAAUUCACUUAAGAUAAAUGAAUAGAAAUUAUUCUUGAUUUUUACUAUAACUCGUAUGAAAUCGGCUAUGGAGUGAUUUCAUAUGAAAGAUAAGACAUUGAUUGCAAAUAAGUUAAAAGAUAGUUAUUGAUAAUCAUUUGAGAGAGUGUAUCAAAACAAGUUGUUAGUAUGUAAAGAAUAUCGAAGCAGUCAUUGUGCCAAAAUUGUUAACAAUAAAUCAAAGUCUUUAACAAACUAAAUAAUUUGCAGAACAUGUACUCCAAACAACUAAAAAGAUCAGCAUUGAAGAACAAAAUAAAAGAUCAAAGAACAAUAGUACAAGUUCAUCAAAGUUUCACCACUAGCUCUAGAUAAAGGUUUAGAAAUACAUAAUGAAAAAUGUAACAAAGAGAAAAUUAAGGAAAUUAGAAUAUGGUGAAGAAAAAUAGAUGCCCUCAAAUGCUUGGCCAAGUUCCCCUUUUAAGCUGGACAUAAAACAUUCAACUUGCAAGUGGACAAUUGACAACUUUCAUUAGCUUGUGCAAUUUGAUGCCACUUUUUAGAUAUGAUGUGCAGCGAAUUUGGACUUUUAAUUAAAAGAUGAAUUGUUUCCACUUGCGUUAUCUUUCCAUUUCUACAAAUAUCAGGUCCAUUGGACGUUUCUAUCUCCAGAUAUAGCCAAAAGAUUGAGUUAUUCUCACUGGUAGAAAAGUUGUACACAAAAAGUAACAACUUGUAAUUUGAAAGGUAAUUUCAGCUAUCCUAUGAUAUGAAUUUGAAUUCUUGGCAAAUAUAAAAGUUGUAGUUCCGUCUCUUAUCUCUCUAAUCUAACUUGAAUCACUUUAGUCCAACUUUUACAGUUCAACUUAUUAUUAUUUUAUUGAAAUAUGUAUAAGCUACCCGAUACAACUCAUCCUUUUUGACUUUUCAGCAUGUUAUUCUUCACUUGCUCUAUGUUUUUCUCCACUCUCUUGCAUCCGCUUUAUGUUUUUUAUAUCAAAUUAGUAUCGUGAUUUUAGUUAGAGAUAAUUGUGAAACUUACGUUAGUAAUUUAUUUGACUCGCCCCAACACACAUCUUCUAAUGUUGUUGAAAAUGAAUGUGUACUUGAUGAAAUGAAAACCAACAAGUGUGAACCAUGUGUGAUUACUUGCAACCUUCUCAAAAUUCUUCUCCUUCAUGUUUUAUUUUCCCUCUUAACGCUAAUAGUUUUCGCUUCAAUGAUUCCAUUGCUUCCUAAUUAAGUUAAGAAUCUUAAAGUCUAUAUUGCAUCUUAAAGAAUUUGAGAAAGUGUGUGCCACAUUUAAUGACAAAACUUGUCCUAACGAAAUUGUUAAGUUGAAAUAGUUUCUUUUUUCUUUAAAAGAUGAAGCAAAAAAUUGGCUUACCUCUUUAAAACCUCGGUGGAUUUAAAGCUACACGAAAAUAUCGCGAAACCGCAAAACGAACCGAAACCAUUGAUUUGAAACCAUUGGUUCACAAUUAUUUCCCCUCAAACCAAACCAAACCGUUCCCAAAUGGGUUAGUUUAGGUUUCGAUUUUCAAAAACC
rnacentral:lncRNA from 1 species